CCUGUAUCAAAAAAAUCAUUUAUGAAUAGCAUUCAUGCUGGAUUUAUAAUUGUUAAUACGUUACAGGGCUAAUUAUUGCGCUUAAGUUUGGGGGGGAUUAGUGUAUUGAGAGCGUCGCUUUGUUUCCUUUGUUAUUUCCAAUCCAGAAAAUAGAUGUAAUUUAGUAGCUUAUUACAGGUGU
rnacentral:misc_RNA from 1 species